rnacentral:tRNA from 1 species
ACUUAUGAAGCUUAAAUUUAAGCAUUGGUCUUGUAAACCAAAGAUUGGGAUGCCCCAUAAGUG